UUUUUUUAUUAUGCGUGUGUGUUUUAUUACCGUGUACGCGUAAUUGUUAAUUCAUGGUGGGGAUAGACCAUUGUUAAUUGUUGGUCUCGGUCUUAACUAGGAAUGCCUUGUACGGGUCAUUGGUUCAACAAACCACCCGGAAUACGUCCCUGCCCUUUGUACACACCGCCCGUCGCUCUUACCGAUGAACUUCGCUAUGAAUCUGUUGGACUGUAUCCUUUAAUGAAUACGGAAAGAUAUAUGAAUAGUGUGGUUUAAAGGAA
rnacentral:rRNA from 1 species